AUUGAACGCUGGCGGCAGGCCUAACACAUGCAAGUCGAACGGUAACAGGAAGAAGCUUGCUUCUUUGCUGGCGAGUGGCGGACGGGUGAGUAAUGUCUGGGAAACUGCCUGAUGGAGGGGGAGAACUACUGGAAACGGUAGCUAAUACCGCAUAACGUCGCAAGACCAAAGAGGGGGACCUUCGGGCCUCUUGCCAUCGGAUGUGCCCAGAUGGGAUUAGCUAGUAGGUGGGGUAACGGCGCACCUAGGCGACGAUCCCUAGCUGGUCUGAGAGGAUGACCAGCCACACUGGAACUGAGACACGGUCCAGACUCCUACGGGAGGCAGCAGUGGGGAAUAUUGCACAAUGGGCGCAAGCCUGAUGCAGCCAUGCCGCGUGUAUGAAGAAGGCCUUCGGGUUGUAAAGUACUUUCAGCGGGGAGGAAGGGAGUAAAGUUAAUACCUUUGCUCAUUGACGUUACCCGCAGAAGAAGCACCGGCUAACUCCGUG
rnacentral:rRNA from 1 species